AUUGAACGCUGGCGGCAUGCCUUACACAUGCAAGUCGAACGGUAACAGGUCUUCGGAUGCUGACGAGUGGCGAACGGGUGAGUAAUACAUCGGAACGUGCCCGAUCGUGGGGGAUAACGAGGCGAAAGCUUUGCUAAUACCGCAUACGAUCUACGGAUGAAAGCGGGGGAUCUUCGGACCUCGCGCGGACGGAGCGGCCGACGGCAGAUUAGGUAGUUGGUGGGAUAAAAGCUUACCAAGCCGACGAUCUGUAGCUGGUCUGAGAGGAUGAUCAGCCACACUGGGACUGAGACACGGCCCAGACUCCUACGGGAGGCAGCAGUGGGGAAUUUUGGACAAUGGGCGAAAGCCUGAUCCAGCCAUGCCGCGUGCAGGAUGAAGGCCUUUGGGUUGUAAACUGCUUUUGUACGGAACGAAAAGCCUCUUUCUAAUAAAGAGGGGUCAUGACGGUACCGUAAGAAUAAGCACCGGCUAACUACGUG
rnacentral:rRNA from 1 species